CAAGUUAUAAUCUUAGGAUUUUAUUAUUUACAAUAAUAAGUUUGACAUUUAUUUGUCUAAUUUGA
rnacentral:tRNA from 1 species